CUGGACCUUCUCCAGACCUCUUUGAUCUUGAGAUGUGGCAUCCAGAACUUCCUAGAGUGCUCCAGGUGACACUGCACCACAGUUGUGCAUAUUGAGGUGCUGAUCAGAAACCCACAAAUAUCUGCCAGGCUGGCAACAGACCCUAAAGAGAGGUAUGGAAUAUAUGUGUCAGCUGCCUAAUGCCCACGGCAGUCUGAAAGCAUACCAGACACUCAGAACCUUAGUGGCAGGCUUGCUUUUCUUAUGUUCUCAUUUUUUAAUGGGGAAAUGGAGGCACAGAAUGUUCCUGGGUCAUUAUGCUAGGUCACAUUGCUCCAAGGAGGGCCC
rnacentral:lncRNA from 10 species